rnacentral:rRNA from 1 species
AGCGAACGCUGGCGGCAUGCUUAACACAUGCAAGUCGCACGGUCGGGUUUCGGCCCGGCAGUGGCGGACGGGUGAGUAACGCGUAGGUAUCUAUCCUUGGAUGGGGGACGAACCGUGGGAACUACGGCUAAUACCGCAUGACGACCGAGGUCCAAAGGACCGCGAGGCCGUCUGGGGAGGAGCCUGCGUCCGAUUAGCUAGUUGGUGGGGUAACGGCCUACCAAGGC